CGCAGGCGGGCGAUCAAGUUGGAAGUGAAAUCCAUGGGCUCAACCCAUGAACUGCUUUCAAAACUGGUCGUCUUGAGUAGUGCAGAGGUAGGCGGAAUUCCCGGUGUAGCGGUGGAAUGCGUAGAUAUCGGGAGGAACACCAGUGGCGAAGGCGGCCUACUGGGCACCAACUGACGCUGAGGCUCGAAAGUGUGGGUAGCAAACA
rnacentral:rRNA from 1 species